UACAGGAAGUAGGCAGGUUAAGUUGUAAUACAGUUAAUAAAGUGAACUGGACUACUAGUUGGCUCCUGUCUGGAACUAUAUAUAUUCGACAUGUACAGAACAUGUUACAUGGUGUCAGAAGCGUGCUGAAUCCCGCCUCAGACGGUCGCUUGGAAGAAAUUGCCCGUCAAGUUGCGGUAAAUAAUUAAUUAGCGCGUAAAUCGCGGUAGGUUCAAAAACUAGGCUAACGCUAGCCAGCAGUUAGAAACUGUGCAGCAAGCUACUUAGACAGACAACGAGGGAGCCUGUCGGCACGGGACGUUAAGAGACAACGCAGAGAAGCCAGACAACGAUACAAGGAAAGAAACAAUGGAUUCCCUUUUCUCCAUAAGCCCACCAGAAAACUUUGACUUUUCGGACUUUGCUAACUGGCCCAAUUGGAUUCGUCGGUUUGAAAGGUUCCGAGUUGCAGCUGGACUGGACAAGAAAGAUGAAGAUUAUCAGGUUGGUGAGGCUGGUCCCAGAACAGGACUUACCCUGAGGGUGGAGACAGUAGACGAGCACCGUCCUGCUGUUUCCUGUUAGCGCAUCAUUCAGGAGGGAGGGGAGGAUCUGGUCACUUGCUGUAGCUUCACAUUGGGUUUUCUCCACUACCCUCACCAGUGGGCUGACUCUGGAAAUAAUGUUCAAAUUGCAAGGCUCAUUUGACUUACUGAUUAAAUAGAUUUGACUAAAAUAAAAAUAUAUAUGAAAUCUGACCAAGGAGGACAUCAUGGCAGAAGUCUUAUAUGACAUUGAACAUAACUUUGUUUGCAAAGAAAACAAAUAACAUUGUUGAUUUGAGUUGAUUAAAACAGCUUUGUCACAGUA